rnacentral:rRNA from 1 species
CCUACGGGAGACAGCAGUGGGGGAUAUUGCACAAUGGGGGGAACCCUGAUGCAGCGACGCCGCGUGGGUGAAGAAGCGCCUCGGCGCGUAAAGCCCUGUCAGCAGGGAAGAAAAUGACGGUACCUGUAGAAGAAGCCCCGGCUAACUACGUGCCAGCAGCCGCGGUAAUACGUAGGGGGCCAGCGUUAUCCGGAUUUACUGGGUGUAGAGGGGGCACAGACGGCGAUGCAAGCCAGGAGUGAAAGCCCGGGGCCCAACCCCGGGACUGCUCUUGGAACUGCGUGGCUCGAGUGCAGGAGGGGCAGGCGGAAUUCCUGGUGUAGCGGUGAAAUGCGUAGAUAUCAGGAGGAACACCGGUGGCGAAGGCAGCCUGCUGGACUGCAACUGACGUUGAGGCCCGAAAGCGUGGGGAGCAAACAGGAUUAGAUACCCGUGUAGUC